rnacentral:lncRNA from 1 species
AAAAGGUCGUGGAAAACGUGAAGGCACACGAAGUCCGGGAUUCAAAACAGCAGACAUUAACCAUGGCACUAGAUGGUUGAGUGACAUGGUCACCAGGCCAGGUGGGUCAGAAAGGGAGCUUAGCCAAGGCUGGAGAGGGGUGCGGGGGUGGGGAGGGGGGGAGGAUCUCCUGACUCCUACCCUUGCAGGCUUGUCUUGCAAUGGCGAUCAGCUCCGAGGUUCCUAAAAAGAGAGAGCCAUCAAACCAGACGCCAGGUUUCUCCAAUAUGCUUUUCACUUUCUGUUUCUCCUUUCUUUCCACCUUUCCAAUAAAAGCCACCUAGUAAAGGACACAAGGAAGAGUGAAUCCACUUUCUGUUUCUCCUUUCUUUCCACCUUUCCAAUAAAAGACGCCUAGUAAAGAAGGACACAAGAAUGAAUGAAGGAAUCAAUUUUAAAAAGCUGCUUUGAUGUUCCAAAUUUGCUUAAAUUGACUGGAUGCAGAAGAGAAAUAUGUGGCUUUAGCAAGUGUCUCUUUGACCUGCAAAUGUCAGAGAUGGUUUUUUGUUUUUUGUGUUUUUCAGACUCCACAUCAGCACUUUUGCGUGUCUGAAGAUGAUUGAGAAGUAAGAGUGGGUUGCUGGGAGGUGCAAAUUCUCAGGGUAGUAACGUCAGGUUUUCUAUUAAAGGGGGCCUCCUAAUGCCCUAGUGUGGGGUGAUGGAUCAUUGGCUGGGGACCAGGACUAGGCCUCUGGAUGGGCCUCUGCUCCUUAAGGAUGGGUCAAAGCCCAAUGCUGGGAUCACUCUGAUUUAAAAAGAGCAUGAAAGAAAAAUCGUACUUAGAAACUGACGUUGUCACUCUAACUGUAUGUUAAGCAAUAGCUCCUCAUCACUUGGCUUGUGGAAUUUGGUCCUUUGUUACUAGAAAGUUGGAAAACCAUGCACUUUUACCCUCAGGGAGAUACACUAUUUAGAGGACCCUGUCAGGGGAGGGGGCGACCACCAACACUAAUGGUUUCCCAAGAGAAUUCCAGUGGUUGAUGGCCUCUGCCACCAGGCCUAUAGCCCCUGAGAUGUAACAGUAACCACAAAACAAUGGCCAUAAUAGAUAAGCUCUUGGAAAACAGUAUUUAUGUUGUUGCUGUGUAGCUCAGGUUUUGAAUAAAAUCUGUAAGUGUAACAAGGACAUAAGAGGAGCAAAACAGUAAAUAAAAAAGAACAGAAUAAUAAAUUGAUUUGAAUAAAGUCAAGGAUGCAGUCGAUGCUGGCCACAUGGCAAAUCAUUUAUUCAUCCCCAGUGUUUCUUGGGAAGCUGGAGAGCUGCUGGCAAGAACAUGACCCAUUUUCAGUUCCACACCGUAAGUUUGGUAACGUGAUCUGAUUGAUGCUUAGGCAAUAUUUAAAAAUCUACAAAUACAAAUUAAUAUAUUAUGACUUAACUUUGAAUUGAAGCAAAUAGGUGUAUUGUUAAUGAAGAAGCCCCUCCUCCAGUCUGCCCUGGGGCUUUCUCCAACACAGACUGCUUUUUUAAUGUUAGGUCUUUUUAUGGACCCGUAAGAAGCUUUAAUUAGAUAUACAGCACUCUACAAAACGACGAGAUGGAACACGCAGGUUUGCAUUACAGUCUCUGUGAUUCAGAUCUCACACAUAACAUAAUGCCACCAAUUUAAGGAAGAAGUUGUUUACUGGAAGGCAACCAGGGAGAUGCUAUAAAUUAGAUCAAGAUGUGAAAAGCAAGCAGAGUCACGGGAGAAUUGCCAUUUUCAUCUUGGGACAUUCCCCGCUUACCCCCCUGCAAGAGCAGCGUGUUCUCUUCUCUAGAUAUUGUUGGUUUUCAUAAUUGGUAAAAAAAUUUAAAAUAGAUCCAUUUAAAACAACAGAUAUUGAACACUCAUGUACGGUUCAAUUUUGAGUUGUGAUAUUUAAAGAUUUUUCUUUUCCAUAUUUAAUUAGUCAUUUUGUACAUUGAUAUUUGUGCAUCUCUAAAUCCUGGCUUCCUUCCAGUAGGAGCAAAAUAAUACUCCAUUGGAGUGGCUUACAGAGUUCCUCAAAGACUUUCCUCACCGCCCCCUUGGCAUCAGUUGGCAUGUUUAACUCUUUUAUCUCGGGUGUCAGUUAAGGCCAAUGUGUGGUGUGUGUGUAAUACAUUUUUGACGGUGGCAGACAAAGAUCGAAAAUGCCAGCCCUUGACUCUGCUUCUCUGCAACCUGUGAACUAGGAGACAUGGCGGUCAUCGCCUGGUGUUGAAUCCCAGCCCCACCACUUAAGGCUGUACGGCUUUGGGCAGGUUGCUUAGCUUUCUGUUUGUUUCCUCCUCCGUAACAUGGGGAAGGGUAGUGAUAAUGAUACCUUUCUUACAAAAUUGGUAGGAAGCAGUGGUUCUCAAAUUGUGUUCCCUGGACCAGCAGUAUCAGUUUGUUCUGGGAACUGAAUCAAAAUGCAAAUUCUCUAUUAAAACGGGGCCUGGUACACAGUAAGCGAUAUAUUAAUGAAUAUUUUUAGAUGAGUGCAAUAUGAUCUUGCCAAGCUAUACCAAGUUUAAUUUAGGCCAGAAGAAGCCUGCCCGUGUCCUCCAGCAAGUGAAUCCCUCCUUCAUCCCACAUCCGAAAACUGUAACAUGGCCUGCCAAACCCUUCAUGAUGGGGCUCCCACCUUCCUUUCUUGCCACUUCCGUUCUCCACGUACCACGGUAUCUCCAUCCUCCCCAGUUUUCAAAGGGAACCGCUUUUUCACACCUCCAAGACUUGGCCAGUUCUGUUCCCUCUGCGUGGAAGUGUCACCCACCCUUUCUCUCCGCUUUCCGCACUUCGAAUCUCACGAAUUCCUACUUCUGCUUCAAAACCUAACUGCAGUGUCCAGCCUCUUCUGUGGUGUGCCCCAAGCCCCACCCGGUCACAGCCAGGGAUUCUCUGGGCCCAUACCUCUUCGCACAUCCCACAUACAGCAUCUAUCAUUGGGUGCUGUAAUUGUUUACUUUUCCAUUUUCUGUCGUUGGAUCUUCAACUCCUAGGAGGAUUUUAGUUCAUUCAAAUUUCUAUUCCUGCCACUCGGCUCUGACAUUUCAAGAGGGUAGCUCAAGGGCUCACACCACAGACUUGGGGUAUUUUUUUUUUUUACAAAGGUCUUUUAAGAAUUUGAAUUAAUGUGUGAGGCACCUGGGUGGCUCAAUCAGUUAAGCGUCUGAUUCUUGACUUCAGCUCAGGUAAUGAUCUCACUGUUUGUGGGAUCGAGCCCCACGUUGAGCUAUGUGCUGACACAACAGCUGCCCCCCCCAAAAGAAUUUGAAUUAGUCGUGAACAUUUAAACUUGAGAGAUUUAAUUUUCAUGUUUAACCACUUUAUUGAGGCCUAAUUAGCAGAUCAUAAAGUUCACUCAGACUACAUGGUAAACUCAAUGAUUUUUAGUGAAUUUAUAAAGUUGUGCAGCCAUCACCUUAACCCACUUUUCAAAUGUUCCCAUCUCUCCCCAAAAGUCUUCUCACGUGCAUAUGCAGUCAAUCACACUCCAAUUUCAAGUCCUCGGCAACCAAUAAUUUGUCUUGCAUCUCUGUAGAUUUGCCUUUCUAGAAGUGUUACAUAAAUGGAAUAACGCAAUGUUGUAGUCUUUGAUGUCUGGCUCCUUUCACUUAGCAAAAGGUUUAUCCACGUUGUAGUUCAUGUAAUUGUAUCAAUUCAUCCUUUUUAUUGCUGAAUACUAUUCCAUGAUACAGAUAAACUAUAUUUUCUUUAUUUCCAAAUUUUUGCUAUCGUGGAUAAUGUUAUGAAUAAUUAUAUAAACUCUACACGGGGAUAUGUUUUCAUUUCUCAGGUAUAUUGCUGGGUGGAGUUGUUGGGUCAUGUCAUAACUCUGUACACUUUAAACUGACAAAUUAUUUUCUAAAGUGACUUACUUUCUUAUAUUCUCAUCAGCAAUAUAUGAGGGUUCUAGUUUCUCCGCAUCCUUGGCAACACUUGGCAUUAUUUGGCUUUUAGGUUACCGCUGUUCUAAUAAAAGUGUAGAAGCAUCUCACUCUGAUUUUAAUUUGCAUUUCUCCGGUGACUAAUGAUGUUGAUCAUCUGUCUGUGUGCUUUUUAGCCAUUCAUAUAUCUGCUUUGGUGAAAGAUCUAUUCAAAUAUUUUGCCCACUUUUAAUUGGGUUGUUUGUCUUCAUGAGUUUUAGGAAUUUGUUUUUGUAUUUCAGAUACAAGUCCUUGAUUAGAUAUAUGACUUGCAAGUAUUUCCUCCCAGGCUGUGGUUUGUCUUUUCAUAUUUUUAAUGAUAUCUUUAGAGGUGCCAAAGUUUUGCAUUUUGAUGAAUACCAAUUUAUCCAAUUUUUCUUUUAUGAAUCUUGUUUUUGCUGUCAUAUCUAAGAAAUUUUUGCCUAAGCCAAAGUCAAAAGACUUUUGCCUGUGUUUUCAAGUUUAUAGUUUUCAAUUUGACAUUUUAGUCUAUUAUCCAAUUUGAGUUCAUUUGUAUGCAUGAUGUAAAGUAAGGAUCUAUUUUAUCAAUGUAUUUUAUCAUUGAUUUGUUUUUUUGCAUGUGGAUAGUCAGUUGCCCCUGAACCAUUUGUCAGAGUGUCAUUUUCUAAUUGAAUUGCCUUGACACCUUCAUUGAAAAUCAAUUUACCUUCCUAUUCAUUUCCGUUGAUCUGUGUCUGUCUUUACAUUAUUGUGACAUAGUCUUGACUGUUGGUUUUUUUUUUUAAGUUUACUUAUUUGUUUUGAGAGAAAGAGAGAGAGAGAAUCUCAGGCAGGCUCUGCACUGUUAGCACAGAGACCAACCUGGGACUUGAGCUUACGAACCCCAUGAGAUCAUGACCUGAGCUGAAAUCAAGAGUCAGACGCUUAACCGACUGAGCCACCCAGGCACCCCUGUUUUAUUGUAAGUUUUGAAAAUGGGGCAGAGUAAGUACUCCAACUAUAUUGUCCUUUUUCAAAGUUGUUUUGCUAUGGGAAGUAUGUUGCACUUCCACGUAAAUGUUAGGAUCAUCUUGUCAAUUUCUACCAAAACUAUUUAUUUAUUUAUUCUUUAAUAUGAAAUUUAUUGUCAAAUUAGUUUCCAUACAACACCCAGUGCUCAUCCCAACAGGUGCCCUCUUCAGUGCCCAUCACCCACCCUCCCCUCCCUCCCACCCCCCAUCAACCCUCAGUUUAUUCUCAGUUUUUAAGAGUCUCUUAUGGUUUGGCUCUCUCCCUCUCUUUUUUUUUUUUCCUUCCCCUCCCCCAUGGUCUUCUGUUAAGUAUCUCAGGAUCCACAUAAGAGUGAAAACAUAUGGUAUCUGCCUUUCUCUGUAUGACUUAUUUCACUCAGCAUAACACUCUCCAGUUCCAUCCACGUUGCUACAAAAGGCCCUAUUUCAUUCUUUCUCAUUGCCACAUAGUAUUCCACUGUGUAUAUAAACCACAGUUUCUUUAUCUAUUCAUCAGUGGAUGGACAUUUGGGGUCUUUCCAUAAUUUGGCUAUUGUUGAAAGUGCUGCUAUAAACAUUGGGGUACAAGUGCCCCUAUGUAUCAGCACUCCUGUAUCCCUUGGGUAGAUUCGUGGCAGUGCUAUUGCUGGGUCAUAGGGUAGGUCUAUUUUUAAUUUAUUGAGGAACCUUCACACUGUUUUCGAGAGCAGCUGCACCAGUUUGCAUUCCCACCAACAGUGCAAGAGGGUUCCCGUUUCUCCACAUUCUCACCAGCAUCUAUAGUCUCCUGAUUUGUUCAUUUUAGCCACUCUGACUGGUGUGAGGUGGUAUCUGAGUGUGGUUUUGAUUUGUAUUUUCCUGAUGACAUAUCGGACAAAGAGCUAGUAUCCAAAACAAUUUUUUUUUUUGAGGAUGGGAUUUUUAUUGGAGUUGAGUUGUAUAUAUAGAUCUAUUUUGGGAGAAUUGCCAUCUUACCAGUAAUGAAUCUUAACAAUUCAUGAACGUGGUAUAUCUUUCCAUUUAUUUAGAUCUUUUAAAAUUUCUAUCAGCAGUAUUUUGUAGUUUUUGGGUCUUACAUGUCUUUUGUCACCUUUAUUUCUAAAUAUUUUCCUUCUUAGUGCUAUUAUGAACUGCAUUAUUUUCUUUAUAGGUUGUUCACUAUCAAUAUAUAGAAAUAUUGAUUUUUAUAUCCUGUGGCAUUCUCAUUUAUUAGUUCUAGGUGGUGUUUUCAGAUACACUAGUAUUUUCCAGAUAUAGGAUCAUAUCAUCUGCAAAUAAGGCAGUUUUAUUUCUUCUUUUCCAGUCUGAAUGCCUUUAAUUUCUUUUUCUUAUCUUCUUGACAGCCUAUAACUUAUAGUAUGAUAUUGAAUAGAAGUGAUAUUGAAUAGUUCUUUGGGAUGCCUGGCUGGCUCAGUCAGUGGGGCAGGAGAGUCUUGACCUCGGGGUUGUAAGUUUGAGCCCCAUGCUGGGUGUAGACAUUACAUAAAAAUGAAACCUUUAAAAAAAGAAGUGGUGAGAGUAGAUAUUCUUCCUUUGUUCUCAAAAACACUUUUCGUCUUCCACUACUAAGUAUGAUAUUUGCUAUAGGUUUUUUUAGGUGGUUUUUUAUCUGUUUGAAGAAGUUCCCUUACAUUCAGAGUUUAAGAGGUUCAUCAUGAAUGAGCGUUAGAUUUUGUAAAAUGCUUUUUCUGCAUGUAUUGACAUGACCGUGUAGGUUUUGUCUAUUACAUUAAUAUGACACAUUAUUUUUAUUUUCAGAUGCCAAAACAACCUUGUAUCCCAAGGUAAGUUCUACUUGGUCAUUGUCUCAUGCUGCUGGAUUUGAUUUCCUUGUUUAUGUUCAUGUGGCAUAAUGUGAUGACUUUGGCCUCAACGAGCUUGGAAGUGGAUUCUUUUCCAAAGCCUCUAGUUAGAAGCCUGGUCCAGCUAAUGCCUUGA